GACGAACGCUGGCGGCGUGCCUAAUACAUGCAAGUCGAGCGAAUCUUUGGGAGCUUGCUCCCAAAGGUUAGCGGCGGACGGGUGAGUAACACGUGGGCAACCUGCCUAUAAGACUGGGAUAACUUCGGGAAACCGGAGCUAAUACCGGAUAAUCCUUUUCCUCUCAUGAGGAAGAGCUGAAAGAUGGCCUCUCGCUAUCACUUAUAGAUGGGCCCGCGGCGCAUUAGCUAGUUGGUGAGGUAACGGCUCACCAAGGCGACGAUGCGUAGCCGACCUGAGAGGGUGAUCGGCCACACUGGGACUGAGACACGGCCCAGACUCCUACGGGAGCAGCAGUAGGGAAUCUUCCGCAAUGGACGAAAGUCUGACGGAGCAACGCCGCGUGAACGA
rnacentral:rRNA from 1 species